UUCCAAAAAAAAUUUUUGGUUACCCGCUCAUUACUCCCUCUUCUUCUCAUCUCAGUCGUGCGCCCUAAAUCCCCCAAAUAAAAGUUUGUUUUUCUUCAGCUGAAAUCCCCCAAAUUUCCCAUUUCCAACAACAGACUUCAUGGAAGAAAACCAGAAGAUGGGAUGGAAUCACCCAGACAUAUCGCUGGAAGAAAUGAUGAAACUAAUAGAAGGGUUUGUUGAUAUCCUGGUUUUGUCUUCUGGGUAUCAAUCCUCUGGUCUUCCCGCUCACUAGGACUUUGAUAACAUCAAGCGAGCCUUUCAAUGGGCCUUCUUCUUUGAAAAUAUCAGUAGUCUGUACCCUCUUUGAAAAUGUCUGAUAAGAGAUGCUAAGUCGGAUUUUGUUCCAGAUCUUCAACAGCAGGUAGUAUAUAAUAUUUCCUUUUGAUGAAUACAAUAUUUCCUCUGCGUUUCGAGAAAGACUAGAACACAUGGAACAUUCUAGAAACCAACGUCUAAUGCUCCUCCUGGCGGAGAAAGAGCUGCAAGCGCACAAAUCUCAGGUUUUGGAAUCGAAGCUAAAACAAUAAGGGUAUAUGAAGAUUGGAUAACCAGGAAUGUAGCAGUUUGCAUUGUAUUUUUAUUACCAAGAUUUACUUGAUUAAGAAAAUGUAUUGUAUUUUUAUUACCUUGCAAUGUGUAUAGUUAUUGGCAAGUUCAACUAAUCAGUCUAUUUCUCAUA